rnacentral:rRNA from 1 species
GACGAACGCUGGCGGCGUGCCUAAUACAUGCAAGUCGAACGCAGUGGGGACGGGUGAGUAACACGUGGGUAACCUCCCAUCAGAGGGGAUAACACUUGGAAACAGGUGCUAAACCGAUACUGAUGGAUGAACCCGCGGUGCAUUAGCUAGUUGGUGAGGUAACGGCUAACCAAGGCCAGGAUGCAUAGCCGACCUUGGAGGGUAAGCGGCCACACUGGAACUGAGAAACGGCCCAGACUCCUACGGGGGGCAGCAGUAGGGAAUCUUGUGCAAUGAACGAAAGUCUGACCGAGCAACGCCGCGUGAGUGAAGAAGGUUUUCGGAUCGUAAAACUCUGUUGGUAGAGAAGCGGUAUCUAACCAGAAAGCCACGGAUAACUACGUGCCAGCAGCCGCGGUAAUAG